rnacentral:lncRNA from 1 species
GGAGUUAAGUAAAACAGGCCAUUACGUAAAAAUACAAUAGGCGGGAACACAGGUGGGUAAAACACAGAACUAACACGCGUGAUAGUAGAAAAAGUUCGUCUAGGAUAUGGAAGAGUUACACACAAAACAAGAAGCACAAACCACCACUACGUACUGCUUAAUUACACACACUAGCACAAAGUCCUGAUCACGCUGCAUGCAAUCCUGCUAGCUAAAAGUAUAUUAUUCCCUUGCGCAAAAAAAAAAAACAAGGUAUUAUUCCGCGGCCGACCAAACUACUUAUUAAAGAAAACUCUCCACGCACGAAUGACACCGAUCGACGAUCUCCCUGGUUUCCACUCCAUGCGUGGUAUAUCUCCGUUCCCGUAGGCUGCUCAGUCGCAGCAGAGCUCGCAGAGCCAGCAGCAGCAGAGGACAGCAAUGCUGUGGAUACGAAGAACACAACACACAAACGGAAGCAUCAGUAUUACUAUUAGAGGCCUCUUACUAUAUUACACAUGAAGCAAAUGCCAUCUAGGCCUUCUUUAGUUCACGAAAAAAUUUAGGUUUGAAUACUGUAGCACUUUCAUUUGUAUUUGAUAAUUAUUAUCUAAUCAUAGACUAACUAGACUUAAAAGAUUCGUCUUUCAAAUUAUAGACAAACUGUACAAUUAAUUAUUUUUUAAUAUAUACUUAAUGCUUCAUGCAUGUACCAUACGAUUUUGAUGAAACGGAGAAUCUUAAAAAAGUUUAAGAAGUAAACAAGACCCUACUAUAUAUAAGCUGGUCUAGCUAGGUAUUACGCAGUACUGACAAGGCUACACAAAAGCGUAGUACUCCCUUCGUUCCAAAAAAAAAAUGUUGUUUUUUACUUUUAAGCGUCUUGUUUGAUCAUCCAUUUUAUUUAAAAAAAAAUCUAAAUAUCAUCUAUUUUUUAUAACUUAUUUUAUUAUUAAAUAACUUUAAUAGUUGUUUUAUUUAUUUUGUAAUUUAUAUAAUUUUUUGAAUAAGAUAAAUUUAUUUUUUGGAAGUUAAAAACGUCGUCGUCCUUUUUGGAUGGAGGAAGUAGGCACCUACCAUCCUUCGAUAAAGCUGGGCUCCCCCCGCUUGGUCGUCGUCCCCUUCUUCUUGCCGCCUGCCGCGCCACCCUGCUCCGCCCCCACCGUCGGGAAGCCAGCUGAUUCACCAACGAAGAUUAUUAUUCGGAUAAAUUAGCAAUGGCGAAUUAUGUCAGUUAUAUAAUAUAAUAGAAUGAGUAGCUAGUCAGCUGUGGAUGCAUGGACGAUGACGAUUAUUAUUCAGAGUUAUUACGUUCCUGAUCUCUUUAAUUUGGCUGGAUCUCGGAUCAGGAUGGUAUGCAUGGAGAAGCUAAAAAUAAUAUAUAGUAAGUAACUGCGACAACCUGGAGGAGGCUGAGGGUCGUUGCUUCUGGCGUUGUUCUCCAUUUUGAUGGAAGGAUGGACCUUUGGACCUAGCUAGAAUUGCAAGACAAUAUCUCUCAGCUUGUGGUUGUGAACAAUAUCUCUCAGCUGUUUAUAAUAGAACGAAGAAGAAUAAGCUGCAAUAAGGCAAUAACUGUGUGUGUCUGCUGUGCUGUGCAUGCACUACAGGUUCGAGUAUGUAUGAUCAAGUGAGCGAAAUUGCCUCCUUAUAUAUAGGCACGCGAGCGCCAAGCGAUAUGCAGCACGCAAGUCGACGAGGUAGGAAGAAGGAAUAUGAUGACACUGGAGGCGGCUGUACUCAGGUAAGACACUCCCGAUACGGAAACCAUCAUAGUUUUUAUAGAUAUUAAUUGUAGCGUCAUCUAAAUAUUUUGUUGAUGUAGCAAGGUAGUUAUUGAAGAGAAAGAGUAAAAAUCAUAGAAAC